rnacentral:rRNA from 1 species
GACGAACGCUGGCGGCGUGCUUAACACAUGCAAGUCGAACGGAAAGGCCCUGCUUUUGUGGGGUUCUCGAGUGGCGAACGGGUGAGUAACACGUGAGUAACCUGCCCUUGACUUUGUGAUAACUUCAGGAAACUGGGGCUAAUACCGGAUAGGAGCUCCUGCUGCAUGGUGGGGGUUGGAAAGUUUCGGCGGUUGGGGAUGGACUCGCGGCUUAUCAGCUUGUUGGUGGGGUAGUGGCUUACCAAGCCUUUGACGGGUAGCCGGCCUGAGAGGGUGAACGGCGACAUUGGGACUGCGAGACGGACCAGAAGCCUACGGGAGGCAGCAGGGGGGAAUAUUGCGCAACGGGCGGAAGUCUGAGGUAGCAGCGCCGCGUGCGGGAUGACGGCCUUCGGGUUGUAAACCGCUUUCGAAUGUGACGAAGCGUGAGUGACGGUAACGGGUAAAGAAGCACCGGCUAACUACGUG